CUGGGACAGCCUGGCCUGCGGCUGCGGGGGUCGGAGCGUGGGAACACCCUUGUCCCCAUCUCUGAGGUCGCGGCGACCUGCAUUCAUGCAUCAGCUAACCCUUUAACCUUGGAGGCAGUGAAACGACUCAUUGCAGAAGGCAAUAAGGAAGAGCUGCAAAAAUGCUUUGGGUCCCGGAUGGAGUUUGGAACAGCUGGUCUUCGCGCUCCUAUGGGCGCGGGGAUUUCUCGCAUGAACGACUUGACCAUCAUCCAGACUACACAGACACUAUCUUUUGCAUUGGCUGACAAAACCAAGGCCAAAAUUGUUUUAGCCAAUGAUCCUGAUGCUGACAGACUGGCUGUGGCAGAAAAGCAAGACAGGAAAAUCAAGACACGUCUCCAGACUUGAGUGAUCUCCACACCCAUCAUACCGAAAGUCAUGAUGUGAUUCAAUCUGAACCCUAUCUGAAUAAAGCUGCCUAGCACGCACUCUUGCAUGGAAGCCUG